UAAUUUGAUAAUCCGCAAAAAACCUUACCACAGCUUGAAUAUUUAUAUUUUUGAUAUAUUUACAGGAGUUGCACGGCUGUCUUCAGUUAAUGUCGUGAGACUUUGGUUAGAUCCAUUAAAUUAACGCAAGCCCUUACUUUAUUUUAAAAUAAAGUAGUUCCCCACUAUAUUGGAUAUGAUAACAGGGACUAAGACAAGUCAUCAUGGCCUGAAUGCUGU
rnacentral:rRNA from 1 species